rnacentral:rRNA from 1 species
GUGGGGAAUCUUGCGCAAUGGCCUAACGGCUGACGCAGCGACGCCGCGUGCGGGAGGACGCCCUUCGGGGUGUAAACCGCUGUUGCCCGGGACGAAUAGCCUCUAUUGAGGGGCCUGACGGUACCGGGUGAGGAAGCACCGGCUAACUCCGUGCCAGCAGCCGCGGUAAUACGGAGGGUGCGAGCGUUGUCCGGAAUCACUGGGCGUAAAGGGCGCGUAGGCGGCUCGCGCAAGCGUGCGGUGAAAGCCCGGGGCUCAACCCCGGGUCGGCCGUGCGGACUGCGGAGCUGGAGCACUGUAGGGGCGGGUGGAAUUCCGGGUGUAGCGGUGGAAUGCGUAGAGAUCCGGAAGAACACCGGUGGCGAAGGCGGCCCGCUGGGCAGUAGCUGACGCUGAGGCGCGACAGCGUGGGGAGCAAACAGGAUUAGAAACCCGUGUAGUCC